rnacentral:lncRNA from 1 species
CACCACUCUGCAGGAAGGGGCUGAGGUGGGGUAAGAGAGGAGAAACAAGACAGAAGGUGGUACCAGAGAAGGAGUCAGCUCCCCAGGGCCUGGAAUCUGCAGUGUUGCCACCACUAGGACCUGGGAUGCAGGAGGCACUCUGACCGGUGGCAUCCAGAAAGUAAGGAAUAUGGACUAAAGGGAGGGCCAAGGAAAAGUUUACAGGCUGUGGCUGUGCAGUUGGAAGAUGCAGAAGCGCCUCGCUUGGUGCUGCCAGCACUUUGGGAGGCCCAGGCGGAUGGAUCACCUGAUGUCAGGAGUUCGAGACCAGACUGACCAACACGGAGAAACCCCGUCUCUACUAAAAAUACAAAAUUAGCUGGGUGUGGUGGUGCAUGCCUGUAACCCCAGCUACUUGGGAGGCUGAGGCAGGAGAAUCACUUGAACCCAGGAGGCAGAGGUUGCAGUGAGCCGAGAUUGUGCCAUUGCACUCCAGCCUGGGCAACAAGAGUGAAACUCCAUCUCAAAAAAAAAAAAAAAAAAAGUAUACCAUUUGACAAUCCUAGGCAUAUACCCAAGAGAAAUGAAAACACGUAUCCUUACGAAAACCCUUCCACAAAUGUUGAUAGCGGCAUUAUUCAGAGUAGCUGAAAAGUGGAAUCAACCAAAUGUCCAUCAACUGAUGAAUGGAGAAAUAAAACGCAGUAUAUCCACACAAUGGAAUGUUAUUUGGCAAUAAAAAGAAAUAAAGUACCGAUACAUGCUUCAAUGUGGCUAAACCUUGAAAGCAUUAUGUGAGUGAAGGAAGCCAGGCACCAAAGACCAUGUGUUAUAUAAUUCCAUCUAAAUAAAAUAUCCAGAAGGUGCAAUUUCAUAGAGACAGAAAGUAGAUGAUUAGUUGGCUAAGGCUGGGAGGAAUGGAAGAAUCGAGGGUGACUGUUAAUAUGUAUGGAGUUCCUUUUUAGGGGUGAAAAAACGUUCUGAAAUUAGAUCGUGGUGAUGGUUGUGCAAUUCUGUGAAUAUAUUAAAAGCUAUUGAAUCGUGCCCUUAAAUGGGUGAAUUGUAUAGUAUGUGAAUUAUAGCUCAAUAAAGCUGUUUUCAAAAA